GUUGUGACAUUUACAACAGCUGUUUUUGUUUAUACUGCUGUUGGCAUAUUUCUAUCUAUGAGGAAAUACAAAUGAAAACAUAGGGAUAACCUUAAAUAUAUUUCGGUUUAGUGUAUGAUCUCAUCAUUGUUUUCUUGCGCAAACAACCAUAGAUAAACAAACAACAGCGAGUGCAAAUUAAAAAUCAUAUGAGUUAGACGUUAACACCACGGACAAUAAGUACAUGUCGCCAAAAUACUUAAAUCGCACUUCUUAGAUAUUUUGAAUUGGUAUUAAAUAAUUAGACAAAUUGUGCAGAUACGCUGGCACCACGGAUAAUAUCAGAAAUAAAAGGACAUUACCUAUAUGUGAAGUGGUACAAAAAGUCCUGAUGAUAUUGGGGUACAAUGCUAUGACUCAUUCAAAAAUAUUACAACAAAGGCAUACCGAAAAUGCAUUAUCUUAAUAGUAAAUAUUUAAAUUUUAAUUUAUUUAUUUUGUUUAAACUCAGGUUUCCUGCUUAUUUCCAAUUGGUGGUUUAAGUAACUCGUCGCGAUGAACGUUAUUGAGAAAUAUGAUUUUAGCAAGUCAAUGGGAUCUUCGUACUAUCUUGCAUAUGCGUGAUGCAUUUGAUACUUUCAUUUUAUCAUAAAAAAAUAAUAGAUGAUGCCUGCUUGAGUUCAAUUAAUUAUUAACAUUGAGAAGUACAAACGAAGAAGAUGUGUUAAAGUAUUUUUAACAGUUUUUAAAAACAUAUAUUAUGAAAAAAAAAAUU